GAAAAAAACCCUUUCUAAUUAGCCAUCGGGUUUAAUGAGAGUGAAAUCGAAAAAAUAUAUUAAUAAUAUAUUUCUGGAUUAAGCAAUAGCUGUACCCAUUAGAACGUACCCAUUAUUAUAACUUGGAAAGAAUAUGUCAGAGAAUAUUUGGUUUCCAAUAGUUCGAUCGAAAAUUGAUUUGUACAGACAAAGGAUUUAAAAUCUUAAAGAAACAUUGCAAGACUGCAUGACAACAUUUACUAUAUCAGUUCAGCAACAGAGUACAUUUCCCCAAGGGCCAAACUCAAGUGUCACAACACGUAAGUCAACACGUGAAAAUUGGAUUAUUAGAACGGCGCGUGAGUAAACAGGACACAAUGCCAGAUGAGGGAUCCAGCAAAUUGGUCUGGAAGUACUCCAGGACGACGACCGAUGUCGAUUGGAUAACCAACGAGGCACAAAACAAGCGUCGCAGGAAUGCGUUGCCAUUUG
ensembl:ncRNA lncRNA:CR45389 long non-coding RNA:CR45389